rnacentral:rRNA from 1 species
AGCCCAACGAGAUCGGGAUAACACCUGGAAACAGAUGCUAAUACCGGAUAACAACAGAUGAUGCCUAUCAACUGUUUAAAAGAUGGUUCUGCUAUCACUCUUGGAUGGACCUGCGGUGCAUUAGCUAGUUGGUAGGGUAACGGCCUACCAAGGCGAUGAUGCAUAGCCGAGUUGAGAGACUGAUCGGCCACAUUGGGACUGAGACACGGCCCAAACUCCUACGGGAGGCAGCAGCA